rnacentral:lncRNA from 1 species
GUUACCUGAGUUUGCCUGACUUUAACCAACUCCUCUUCCCUUCCCUCCUCCCUUCUCCAGCGGGCUCUCCUUCCAGCUUCCUCCCGGGCUGCAAUUCCUCUGCCUAGGUGCCUCCGUCCAGCUCCGGCUUCUGGCCCGGAGGCUGCUCAUCUGCCCCUACCCCCGCUGACUUUUGGGAGGAGCAACACCUUUCAGGUCAGCAUUGCUAACCCUAAACUUUCCCCGCCGGAUGCCCGCGAGGCUGCUGCGGCGGCGGCUGCUGCUGAUGGGAGAGUCUCGAGUCCGGCUUUCAUCACAUCACCUGUCUGCGCCCCUUCCCCCUCCCCGCUCUUUUUUUCUUUUCUUUUUAUUUUGACGCAAAUAAUUUGCAUUCUGAGAAUCCCACAAUCAACGCCGAAACUCAUGCUCAAGGAUACAGGUGAAGAUGCCUUUGACAAAGGCGAAUGCGAGCCGAGUGCAGUUUGUAAAAGCUGGGGUUGGGGGCAGUGGUGGAGGCAAAGCACCUUAAGAGUAUUUUUUAGCCCCUCUGAGAAGGGACAUCCGGGCGGGAGGCGGGCGGAUCCCGGGCUUCCCCGCCGGCUGCCGACUCUGGCUCCUGGCUGGCGUUCUCUCCAGGAGCCCGCGCCGGUGGCCCCGCUCUCCCCUUCAGCACGCGGGCCUCGAACCCGCAUCCCGGAGAGCGGCCGCCCGCGCAGCCCCUGCCGCGCGCCGUCGGAGGCGGCCUCAGCUCGCCAUGGGUACUCACUUUUGCCAGGGAGCAAAGUCUGCCACAUCAGUCGAUGAGUACUUCCUGCACGAGGACAUGAAGCUCCAUUGUGUGGAAAGCUGUUUCGCGAACGGUCGGUAAAAUCCAGAAAGAGGGAGAAGGAGUGAGUAAGGCAGAAAGCCCAGCCCAGAAAACCGGCGUCUGGGGAUUUCAGCCUCCGCUCCCCGGUCCCCAGCCCGGUGGCUCUGUGAGAAGAAGCUCAACUCGGUGCACUUGUUCACUCUUUCUUCAUGAGAGGAGGAGUCAGUGUUGCAACAUUUAUGUUCCUUGCUGGAGGCAAAACAGUGAUUUUCUUCAGCAUGCAAAACGUCCAGAGCCUGCCAGUUUUAGAAGGCGACGGAGGUAGUUGGGGGAGCUGGAAUCCUGCGAAGACCUGAAGAAACAACUGAUUCCCCCCAGAUCGGUUUUGCAUGAUUAGGGCCACAUAUCUUUCAUUGAGACUGUACCAGAAAAUAGACAGACAAAACAAUAAUAAAAAUGACUUAGUGAGUUGAAUGACCUCAAAGAUGAUAUUUUUCCAGGCAGCCAAGAUGUGGAGUGUCUCCGUGUCAAAUUUCUUUCCUUAUUUCUGAGUAACAUUGAACAGCAGCUAUAUUUGAGAGGUUCUCCAGGGAUUUGAAUUGCACCUUGCCUGAGGAGUCAGAUAGAAAGGAGCAAAAGAAGAUAGUCAGUGACCUAAGAAGGUUUUGCUUUUUUUUUUUUUUAAUACCCAAAGCGCAAACUUCUAGUGUGCUGUGUUUAUUCUCUGCCAUAUGAAUAUAAUAAACAUUGGCGGUGCCUAAAUAGCCCCACUUCUGUUGUUUUCCACAAAUAAAGAAUUUAUCUUUUCUAAUGGGCUGCAUGUUGUUCUGACUUUUCUUCUUCUUGAAACCACACAC